rnacentral:rRNA from 1 species
GAUGAACGCUGGCGGCGUGCCUAAUACAUGCAAGUCGAGCGAACAGACGAGGAGCUUGCUCCUCUGACGUUAGCGGCGGACGGGUGAGUAACACGUGGAUAACCUACCUAUCAGACUGGGAUAACUUCGGGAAACCGGAGCUAAUACCGGAUAAUAUAUUGAACCGCAUGGUUCAAUAGUGAAAGACGGUUUUGCUGUCACUUAUAGAUGGAUCCGCGCCGCUUUAGCUAGUUGGUAAGGUAACGGCUUACCAAGGCAACGAUGCGUAGCCGACCUGAGAGGGUGAUCGGCCACCCGGGAACUGAGACACGGUCCAGACUCCUACGGGAGGCAGCAGUAGGGAAUCUUCCGCAAUGGGCGAAAGCCUGACGGAGCAACGCCGCGUGAGUGAUGAAGGUCUUCGGAUCGUAAAACUCUGUUAUUAGGGAAGAACAAAUGUGUAAGUAACUAUGCACGUCUUGACGGUACCUAAUCAGAAAGCCACGGCUAACUACGUG